GACGAACGCUGGCGGCGUGCUUAAUACAUGCAAGUCGAACGGAAAGGCCCUGCUUUUGCUGGGCGCUCGAGUGGCGAACGGGUGAGUAACACGCGAGUAUCCUCUCCUUGACUUUGGGAUAACUUCACGAAACUGGGGCUAAUACCGCAGAGGAGCUCCUGCUGCACGGUGGGCGUUGGAAAGUUUCGGCGGUUGUGUAUGGACUGGCGGCUUACCAGCUUGUUGGUGAAGUAGUGGCUUACCAAGUCUUUGACGGCUAGCCGGCCUGAGAGGGUAACCGGCCACAUGGGGACUGAGAUACGGCCCAGACUCCUACGGGAGGCAGCAGGGGGGAAUAUUGCACAAUGGGCGGAAGCCAGUUGCAGCAACGCCGCGUGCGGGAUGACGGCCUUCGGGGUGUGAACCACUUUCUCCUGUGACGAGGCGUUAGUGACGGUAAUUGGUAAAGAAGCACCGGCUAACUACGUG
rnacentral:rRNA from 1 species